AACGCACAUUGCGCCCGCUGGUACUCCGGCGGGCAUGCCUGUUCGAGCGUCAUUUUGACCAAUCAAGCUCUGCUUGGCUUUGGGACACGCUGUACCAGCGGUCCUUAAAAUCAGUGGCGGUGCCGUCUAGCUCUAAGCGUAGUAAUUUUUUCUCGCUAUAGCGUUAGGCGUCCACCCGCCAGAACCCCCAACUCUUCAAGGGUUGACCUCGGAUCAGGUAGGGAUACCCGCUGAACUUAA
rnacentral:misc_RNA from 1 species